AAGUCGUAACAAGGUUUUAAGUGUUGAGACUCUGUGAGUUUUCAUCAGAGUUUUCAAGGUCCUUUCGUGGAAUACACCUUAGGAAGCCUUUGCAGGUGUGGUUUUUGGCCACAUUGUUAACGCGACUAUAAAUACUGUUUAAGCUACUGCAAGUCGUCGAAAGAUGGCAAGACUGUCAAAUUGCGGGAAAACCCUUAGAGCCCUAGGUACACCAUUUCAGUCGAAAGGCUGAUCUGUCGUAAUAAUCCGCGGGAUUGGGUGAUCUGCAGCAAAGUCCGUAGCACGUUAGGGUGCCGGAUGAGGUUCAGAGGCCAAAUUAUAGUCGGUACACCUCGGUGUGCUUAAGAUAUGGUCCGGCUCGUUGCGAAAGCGGCGGGAUAAGUAUUCUACUUGAACUUAACCGUUCCGUAGGUGAACCUGCGGAAGGAUCAUUAAUGAAUGCAAGGAUGCUCUUUUUAGAGGUCCGACCCAUUUAAUUUCCACCCUGUGCAUUACACUACUCUUUACACAUCAUUUAUAACACGAAUGAAGUAUUUAAGAAUGUCAAAAGUCUCUUGAUUGAGCAUAAAAUAAAACAAAA
rnacentral:misc_RNA from 1 species